rnacentral:misc_RNA from 1 species
CGUCAAUGUUAAAAGCAUUACCUCGUAUUUGUCAGUUGGCUGCAUAUUAUUAGCCGUUAAUUAUUGUGGUUUGUGAUAGUACAUUGUUUCUCGCUGCUGCUCUCCGCUAUUCGGGAAUUAUCUCCUACGUCACGCAAGGUGCGACAAGGAUGAAAGGAGCAGAAGAACGAUUUGCGAGAUCUCGGGACACACCUAGACAUUUGGCAAAUGUUCCGGAACAGUGAUUUAUGAAAUAUACAGGGUGUUCCAUAAAUAAUGGGAGUAGCCAGAAAAAAUUACACGCACCUACAGCAGAAUGUCUGGUCUAUUGAAUAAAAUCAAAAGUACAGGAUGUUCAGCAUAGAACUCGAUAAAAUUGUAAUAAAAGUUGACUAAAACGAUUUUUUUUAAAAUUUUUUGUUAAAUUUUGCUGGUCUGUAACUUAGUAAUUAGUAAUAAUAUUUAUUGGUUUAUAUUGUUAAUAAAUAGUAUAUACCUUCGA